ensembl:Mt_tRNA
GUCCUUAUAGCUUAAUGCAAAGCAUGGCACUGAAGAUGCCAAGAUGGUAUCUAGUAAUCCCUAAGGACA